GUAGUGACCUGUGCCUGAAUCUCUACACUGACUGUGGAGCAGACCAGGACAGUCGAUGAAAACAACAAUUAAACCUGCCUGGGAUUUGCAAUUCCUGUAGCUGGGAGAGGAAUGACUCAUGCCAGCUGAUGCUCGGGUGUCUUCCUCCAGGUAUCUGCAUCUCAGGAUCUGACCCAAAGAAGAACAUGAAGGAUGCCCUGGAGAUCCUGCUAGAGACUGAAAAAUGGGAGCACCUUCCAAGAGCGCUUUGUGUCUUAGAGGGAGAGAAUCAACUUCCAACAGGAAAGGAAACCUCAGGCCAGCCUGAAACAGGAACCAUGUGCAAGUUUGUGGCGCCUUUAAAUAGAACCCUUCAUCUGUCUUCCAAAGAAAAAAGAUGUUUGCAGUCACACAGGUCUGUGUGUUCAUCUGGCACCUGUCUCUUCAUUGUGGGGACAUUUGAACUCAUUGGCCAGCUUUAACCACAUUUAGCUGUGGUUAAUAAAUGCGGUCUAAAAAGAUAUGAUGAAGUCA
rnacentral:lncRNA from 14 species